rnacentral:rRNA from 1 species
UAAUACGAAGGGGGCUAGCGUUGUUCGGAAUCACUGGGCGUAAAGGGCGCGUAGGCGGCUGUUCAAGUCGGGGGUGAAAUCCUGUGGCUCAACCACAGAAUGGCCUUCGAUACUGGACGGCUAGAGACCGGAAGAGGUGAGUGGAACUGCGAGUGUAGAGGUGAAAUUCGUAGAUAUUCGCAAGAACACCAGUGGCGAAGGCGGCUCACUGGUCCGGUUCUGACGCUGAGGCGCGAAAGCGUGGGGAGCAAACAGGAUUAGAUACCCUGGUAGUCCACGCCGUAAACGAUGGAUGCCAGCCGUUGGCGAGCUUGCUCGUCAGUGGCGCAGCUAACGCUUUAAGCAUCCCGCCUGGGGAGUACGGUCGCAAGAUUA